GACGUAGGGGCGCGAGCGUUGUCCGGAUUUGAUUGGGCGUAAAGAGCUCGUAGGCGGCCUGUUGCGUCCGCUGUGAAAGCCCGGGGCUUAACCCCGGGUCUGCAGUGGAUACGGGCAGGCUAGGAGGUAGGUAGGGGAGAAUGGGAAUUCCCGGUGGUAGCGGUGAAAUGACGCAGAUAUCGGGAGGAACACCGGUGGCGAAGGCGGUUCUCUGGGCCUUACCUGACGCUGAGGAGCGAAAGCGUGGGGAGC
rnacentral:rRNA from 1 species